UACAGAGGGGGCAAGCGUUGUUCGGAAUUACUGGGCGUAAAGGGCGCGUAGGCGGCCUUCUAAGUCGGACGUGAAAUCCCUGGGCUCAACCCAGGAACUGCGUCCGAUACUGGAAGGCUUGAAUCCGGGAGAGGGAUGCGGAAUUCCAGGUGUAGCGGUGAAAUGCGUAGAUAUCUGGAGGAACACCGGUGGCGAAGGCGGCAUCCUGGACCAUUACUGACGCUGAACCGCGAAAGCUAGGGGAGCAAACGGG
rnacentral:rRNA from 1 species